GGCAGUGUGGCCGAGUGGUUAUGGCGCUGCGUUCAGGUUUACCUGAAUUCCAACUUCGCAGUGGAGCAAUCCGCGUGGGUUCGAGUCCCACCGCUGUCA